rnacentral:tRNA from 2 species
AUUUUCUUAGUACAGUUAGUACAGAUGACUUCCAAUCACCUAGCCUUGGUUAGACUCCGAGAGAAAAUA